AGGACGAACGCUGGCGGCGUGCUUAACACAUGCAAGUCGAACGGAAAGGCCCUGCUUUUGUGGGGUGCUCGAGUGGCGAACGGGUGAGUAACACGUGAGUAACCUGCCCCUGACUUUGGGAUAACUUCAGGAAACUGGGGCUAAUACCGGAUAGGAGCUCCUGCUGCAUGGUGGGGGUUGGAAAGUUUCGGCGGUUGGGGAUGGACUCGCGGCUUAUCAGCUUGUUGGUGGGGUAUGGCUUACCAAGGCUUUGACGGGUAGCCGGCCUGAGAGGGUGACCGGCACAUUGGGACUGAGAUACGGCCCAGACUCCUACGGGAGGCAGCAGUGGGGAAUAUUGCACAAUGGGCGGAAGCCUGAUGCAGCAACGCCGCGUGCGGGAUGACGGCCUUCGGGUUGUAAACCGCUUUACGCCUGUGACGAAGCGUGAGUGACGGUAAUAGGUAAAGAAGCGACCGGCUAACGUACGUGCCAGCAGCCGC
rnacentral:rRNA from 1 species